rnacentral:rRNA from 1 species
GACGUAGGGGGCCAGCGUUGUUCGGAAUUACAGGGUGUAAAGGGUUCGUAGGCGGUGUGGCAAGUCGGGAGUGAAAUCUCUGGGCUCAACUCAGAGACUGCUUCCGAAACUGCUGUGCUGGAGUGUGGGAGAGGCGCGUAGAAUUGCAGGUGUAGCGGUGAAAUGCGUAGAUAUCUGCAGGAACACCCGUGGCGAAAGCGGCGCGCUGGACCACUACUGACGCUGAGGAACGAAAGCUAGGGGAGCAAACAGG